GCCGGUGGGAAACCGGCGCUGUCCCGCAACUGUGAUGCCCCGCCCGGACACGGGUGGGGACGAGCCAGG
rnacentral:ncRNA from 1 species